GAUGAACGCUGGCGGCGUACCUAAUACAUGCAAGUCGAGCGAACAGAUAAGGAGCUUGCUCCUUUGACGUUAGCGGCGGACGGGUGAGUAACACGUGGGUAACCUACCUAUAAGACUGGAAUAACUCCGGGAAACCGGGGCUAAUGCCGGAUAACAUUUAGAACCGCAUGGUUCUAAAGUGAAAGAUGGUUUUGCUAUCACUUAUAGAUGGACCCGCGCCGUAUUAGCUAGUUGGUAAGGUAACGGCUUACCAAGGCAACGAUACGUAGCCGACCUGAGAGGGUGAUCGGCCCCACUGGAACUGAGACACGGUCCAGACUCCUACGGGAGGCAGCAGUAGGGAAUCUUCCGCAAUGGGCGAAAGCCUGACGGAGCAACGCCGCGUCAGUGAUGAAGGUCUUCCGAUCGUAAAACUCUGUUAUUAGGGAAGAACAAAUGUGUAAGUAACUGUGCACGUCUUGACGGUACCUAAUCAGAAAGCCACGGCUACCUACGUG
rnacentral:rRNA from 1 species